rnacentral:rRNA from 1 species
UACGGAGGGUGCAAGCGUUGUCCGGAAUCAUUGGGCGUAAAGCGUUCGUAGGCGGUAUGCCAAGUCUGGUGUUAAAGACCGGGGCUCAACUCCGGCACGGCAUUGGAUACUGGUAAACUGGAAUGCGGCAGAGGUAAAGGGAAUUCCCGGUGGAGCGGUGAAAUGCUAAGAUAUCGGGAGGAACAUCGGUGGCGAAAGCGCUUUACCGGGCCGUGAUUGACGCUGAGGAACGAAAGCCGGGGUAGCAAAU